AUUGGAAUACCAUUGGAAACAAUGGCUAAUGCCGGAUACGCAUGGAACCGCAUGGUUCCGUUGUGAAAGGCGCUGUAAGCGCCACUAAAAGAUGAGGGUGCGGAACAUUAGUUAGUUGGUGAGGUAAUGGCCCACCAAGACUAUGAUGUUUAGCCGGGUCGAGAGACUAAACGGCCACAUUGGGACUGAGAUACGGCCCAAACUCCUACGGGAGGCAGCAGGC
rnacentral:rRNA from 1 species